rnacentral:lncRNA from 1 species
UUCCCGUCUAAAUAUUUUCCCUGGAGAUGGAAAGGUGCGCUGGCGGCCGGGGAGCCGCGACCUGGGGCGCGCUGGGCCUCGCAGAGCAGCCGCGGACCCCGGCGAUCGUGCCGUGUUCGUCUCCUUUGUGUUUCUUUAUUGAGUCCCUACUACCUCUACGGAUAUUCUGGGGGCAAUUAAAGAAAAUCACCGCUUCAUAGGCAGCACAUAUUUCCCAUAGAAAUGUGGAAUGUAAGAAAGGCACAUAAAGCAAUCCAAGUUGCCUGCAGAUAUCCACAGCCUACUUCAGUCUCAGUAAUGCUCUUUUAACCUGGUGCAUCAGUUUAAGGGAAGACAUGAGAUCAUGGGUUUAAGUGAGGCUUCAUCAUGCCAAGACAACGUGAUCAG